rnacentral:rRNA from 1 species
UAGGGAAUAUUGGACAAUGGGGGCAACCCUGAUCCAGCCAUGCCGCGUGAGUGAAGAAGGCCCUCGGGUUGUAAAGCUCUUUUGUCCGGAAAGAAAAGCUUCGGGUUAAUACCCCGGGGUUCUGACGGUACCGGAAGAAUAAGCACCGGCUAACUUCGUGCCAGCAGCCGCGGUAAUACGAAGGGUGCAAGCGUUACUCAGAAUUACUGGGCGUAAAGCGUGCGUAGGUGGUUGUUUAAGUCUGAUGUGAAAGCCCUGGGCUCAACCUGGGAAUGGCAUUGGAAACUGGGCAGCUAGAGUGCGGUAGAGGGUAGUGGAAUUCCCGGUGUAGCAGUGAAAUGCGUAGAGAUCGGGAGGAACAUCUGUGGCGAAGGCGACUGCCUGGACCAGCACUGACACUGGGGCACGAAAGCGUGGGGAGCAAACA